rnacentral:rRNA from 1 species
AGUGAACGCUGGCGGCGUGCUUAACACAUGCAAGUCGAACGAGAACGGAUUAUAGCUUGCUAUAAUUGUCAGCUAAGUGGCGCACGGGUGAGUAAUGUAUAGGUAAUAUGCCUCUUACUAAGGGAUAACAAAUGGAAAAGUUUGCUAAUACCUUAUACUCCUUAUUAACAGAAGUUAAUAAGGGAAAGAUUUAUUGGUAAGAGAUUAGCCUGUAUUGUAUCAGUUAGUUGGUGGGGUAAAAGCUUACCAAGGCUAUGACGCCUAGGAGAGGUGAGAGCCUGACCUCCACCGAUGGGACUGAGACACGGCCCAUACACCUACGGGUGGCUGCAGUCGAGAAUAUUCCGCAAUGGACGCAAGUCUGACGGAGUGACGCCGCGUGACCGAUGAAGAGCUUCGGUUUGUAAAGGUCUUUUAUGUAGGAGGAACGAUGACUGUACUACAUGAAUAAGGGGUUGCCAAACUCGUGCCAGCCGCCGCUGUAA